AUUGAACGCUGGCGGCAGGCCUAACACAUGCAAGUCGAGCGGAUGAAGGGAGCUUGCUCCUGGAUUCAGCGGCGGACGGGUGAGUAAUGCCUAGGAAUCUGCCUGGUAGUGGGGGAUAACGUCCGGAAACGGGCGCUAAUACCGCAUACGUCCUGAGGGAGAAAGUGGGGGAUCUUCGGACCUCACGCUAUCAGAUGAGCCUAGGUCGGAUUAGCUAGUUGGUGGGGUAAAGGCCUACCAAGGCGACGAUCCGUAACUGGUCUGAGAGGAUGAUCAGUCACACUGGAACUGAGACACGGUCCAGACUCCUACGGGAGGCAGCAGUGGGGAAUAUUGGACAAUGGGCGAAAGCCUGAUCCGGCCAUGCCGCGUGUGUGAAGAAGGUCCUCGGAUUGUAAAGCACUUUAAGUUGGGAGGAAGGGCAGUAAGUUAAUACCUUGCUGUUUUGACGUUACCAACAGAAUAAGCACCGGCUAACUUCGUG
rnacentral:rRNA from 1 species